AACUGAGAAGUCCCAGCAGAAGAAAUCAUUCAGUGCACGCGUUCGCUUUACCAGGGAUAGCAAACCACGAACAUGGACACAAACCAGUGCUGGUUAAUGCAGGCCUUCCUGAUGACUAAAGCUACUGUCAUUUCAAGGUGUAAAUGGAAUGAUGGAUGACCGUUAAUACUUUCUCCUGUCAUGCAAGAACUCAGAGUCUUUAGAAGAGGACCCACCUUCCUCCUUAAGCAAGUAUUCUUCUGACGGAAUCUCUCUGCAGUUGAUGUAUGUUCCUGCUCCUCAGUAUUUGUAUCCUUAUUACUGAAGAUGCGUACCUGAGCCAUUAAUCAGAUGUUCCUGCCCCAGGGAUUUUUGGGUUUUAGACAGAAAUACAAUGUACAUGAUAGAAGCCCCAUAUAACACAGGGAAAUGCUUAUAUGGCAAAACUAUUAAUUUUGUCUAGCUGGAGUCAGAUUUGACAUCCACAUGAAUAUAAUGCUACGCUAUAGCCAAAGUGGCUCCAGCUAAAUCAGUGGGACCAAUUUAAUAUUAGUAUGCUAUUCUGACUGGAUAAGAGUGCAACUUCGAACAUAAUCUAUUUCACCUGCAAAUUUUUGAGUCAGCAACAAAAAAUAUGUAGCUAAAGACUUUCUAUUCUAUCAUGGGUAACCUUGUUUGCAUUCACAUUUUAAAAUAUCUACUACUGCCUUUAAAUGGUAUAAAUAAACCCAGAGAACCAAGGAAGGCUGAUAGAGUGGACAGAUGCUGGCCAAAUGCAAAACUGGAUAAUAAGCAAAAUCAGCUCAACUACCUUCAACAGACUCACACUUGCUUUCUCAAGUAGAGGGAGAGUGUGCUGGAGCAAACACAGAUAAAUUUAAGACAAGUUGCAGCACAUUUUUCAUGUAAGCUCCCACAUUGUUCUCAGACACCUGCAACGCACAGGCAAAACCAAACAAGCAUCAGGAUUUCAGGCAUGACUCCUUGCCAAAAGCAACUAGAAAGCUCUGAAAAUUAUGAUGUAGCUGCCUGUUGUAGUCAGGAAGGGACACACAGAGUCAGUGUCUCAGUUCCAGGGAGGUAUGUUGCUUUAUAUAAAGCUGAUUUUAAUCUGCUACUUCAAUGCUGCUGAAUAUAAACUGUUCAGCUUCUUCUUUGCCAGUGGAAAAUAGAAGCCUCUUACAUUUGGAAUUGAAAAUAGGUCUAUUGAUUGUUUUGCUAUCCAUUGUUAGUUGAGAAGUGCAGGGAAAGAAAAAACUUUUUUUUAGGACAUCUCAUCAUUUCUUUGCAGUGUAUGAGCAUUGCCCUUGUGUCUCUUCUCAAUUCAAGUGGAAAACUGAGAAGCGAAAAGCAGAAAGAUAGUCUUUGUUUCUAAAGUCUCCUUCCUCA